rnacentral:rRNA from 1 species
UGCUCGAGUGGCGAACGGGUGAGUAACACGUGGGUGAUCUGCCCUGCACUUCGGGAUAAGCUUGGGAAACUGGGUCUAAUACCGGAUAGGACCAUCGUUUAGUGUCGGUGGUGGAAAGUUUUUUCGGUGUGGGAUGAGCUCGCGGCCUAUCAGCUUGUCGGUGGGGUAAUGGCCUACCAAGGCGUCGACGGGUAGCCGGCCUGAGAGGGUGUACGGCCACAUUGGGACUGAGAUACGGCCCAG